CCUACGGGUGGCUGCAGUGGGGAAUAUUGGGCAAUGGGCGCAAGCCUGACCCAGCAACGCCGCGUGAAGGAAGAAGGCUUUCGGGUUGUAAACUUCUUUUGUCAGGGAAGAGUAGAAGACGGUACCUGACGAAUAAGCCACGGCUAACUACGUGCCAGCAGCUGCGGUAAUACGGAGGGGGCAAGCGUUAUCCGGAUUUACGGGGUGUAAAGGGGGCGCAGACGGUAAUGCAAGCCAGGAGUGAAAGCCCGGGGCCCAACCCCGGGACUGCUCUUGGAACUGCAUGGCUGGAGUACCGGAGGGGCAGGCGGAAUUCCUAGGGUAGCGGUGAAAUGCGUAGAUAUUAGGAGGAACACCGGUGGCGAAGGCGGCCUGCUGGACUGUGACUGACGUUGAGGCCCGAAGGCGUGGGGAGCAAACAGGAUUAGAUACCCCUGUAGUC
rnacentral:rRNA from 1 species